rnacentral:rRNA from 1 species
AUUGAACGCUGGCGGCAGGCUUAACACAUGCAAGUCGAGCGGUAACAGGGGGUGCUUGCACCCCGCUGACGAGCGGCGGACGGGUGAGUAAUGCUUAGGAAUCUGCCCAGUAGUGGGGGAUAGCCCGGGGAAACCCGGAUUAAUACCGCAUACGUCCUACGGGAGAAAGCAGGGGAUCUUCGGACCUUGCGCUACUGGAUGAGCCUAAGUCGGAUUAGCUAGUUGGUGGGGUAAAGGCCUACCAAGGCGACGAUCCGUAGCUGGUCUGAGAGGAUGAUCAGCCACAUCGGGACUGAGACACGGCCCGAACUCCUACGGGAGGCAGCAGUGGGGAAUAUUGGACAAUGGGGGCAACCCUGAUCCAGCCAUGCCGCGUGUGUGAAGAAGGCUUUCGGGUUGUAAAGCACUUUCAGCGAGGAGGAAGGCUCUGAAGUUAAUACCUUCAGGGAUUGACGUUACUCGCAGAAGAAGCACCGGCUAACUCCGUGCCAGCAGCCGCGGUAAUACGGAGGGUGCAAGCGUUAAUCGGAAUUACUGGGCGUAAAGCGCGCGUAGGUGG